rnacentral:rRNA from 1 species
GACGAACGCUGGCGGCGUGCUUAACACAUGCAAGUCGAACGGUGAAGCUCCAGCUUGCUGGAGUGGAUCAGUGGCGAACGGGUGAGUAACACGUGAGCAACCUGCCCCUGACUCUGGAAUAAGCGCUGGAAACGGCGUCUAAUACUGGAUACGAGAAGGGUCCGCAUGGGCACUUUCUGGAAAGUUUUUCGGUUGGGGAUGGGCUCGCGGCCUAUCAGCUUGUUGGUGAGGUAAUGGCUCACCAAGGCGACGACGGGUAGCCGGCCUGAGAGGGGGACCGGCCACACUGGGACUGAGACACGGCCCAGACUCCUACGGGAGGCAGCAGUGGGGAAUAUUGCACAAUGGGCGAAAGCCUGAUGCAGCGACGCCGCGUGAGGGAUGACGGCCUUCGGGUUGUAAACCUCUUUCAGCAGGGAAGAAGCGAAAGUGACGGUACCUGCAGAAGAAGCACCGGCUAACUACGUG